rnacentral:tRNA from 1 species
GUAAAUCUAAAGAUAGAGGUUUAAGUCCUCUUUUUGCCA